ACGUACACUCCUACGGGAGGCAGCAGUGGGGAAUUUUGGACAAUGGGCGAAAGCCUGAUCCAGCCAUGCCGCGUGCAGGAUGAAGGCCUUCGGGUUGUAAACUGCUUUUGUACGGAACGAAACGGCCUUUUCUAAUAAAGAGGGCUAAUGACGGUACCGUAAGAAUAAGCACCGGCUAACUACGUGCCAGCAGCCGCGGUAAUACGUAGGGUGCAAGCGUUAAUCGGAAUUACUGGGCGUAAAGCGUGCGCAGGCGGUUAUGUAAGACAGUUGUGAAAUCCCCGGGCUCAACCUGGGAACUGCAUCUGUGACUGCAUAGCUAGAGUACGGUAGAGGGGGAUGGAAUUCCGCGUGUAGCAGUGAAAUGCGUAGAUAUGCGGAGGAACACCGAUGGCGAAGGCAAUCCCCUGGACCUGUACUGACGCUCAUGCACGAAAGCGUGGGGAGCAAACAGGAUUAGAAACCCGCCCAUGAU
rnacentral:rRNA from 1 species